ACAAAUUCAAAGAUAUUAACUUUUUUUAUAAUUUAAAAAAAAAAUUAUUUCAAGUCAAUUUUUACAAUUCAAACAUGUUUAUAGCAUAAAAAAAAUUUCAAAUCAUUUAUAUUUCUAUGAAAUUUACAUAUUCUUGUACAAGCCCAAAUAUGCCCGGGCCCAAACCAAUAAACAAGCCCAAUUAACAGCCCAAAACCCAAAUUGACCUAGCCCAAACAUUAAAAUUUCAGAAACCCUAACAGCAUUUGCUCGUAGCCGCCGCACAUCCUAACAGCAGCCCCGCACAUGUCGCGCACGUCCGCCUCCACGUUGACUGGCCGUACCUGCAGCAACAAGCAGAAACAAACAACAACGAAAUAAUAGGAAUAACAGAAUAGAUCUGGUUUGAUUUUUUUCUUUCUUCUUUCCCAUUUUUGGCUAUAAAGGCCCAAAUCCAGGCAUUGUAAAAAGGGGGGAUUCAGUGUAAAAACACAUAGAAAAAUCAAGAGAGAACCGAGUAAAUUUCAGUUUUUAAGGUGAUUAUUAGAAGUUGUUUUUUGUUUUUUUAUAUUAUUUUAUUUUUGUGCAUGCGAAAAUAUAAAGAAAAGGCGAAAAGAAAAACUGACAUUGCCUUGUCGCGUUCUGCUCCUUCCUCCGUCUCGAUCGGAGACUAGGAUGGCGAUUGAAGCCGCCGGGGGGUUCUUGAACAACGGCGGCGCAAAGAAAAGGGUUGAAGAAACCCUAGCAGAGCGAAUAAGGGGUAGCAUUUAAUUUUAAAAAAAAAUGG
rnacentral:lncRNA from 1 species